UUCCCGUAAACAGAGGCGCAUCCGGAGGACGCAGCUCGGUCCCACCCAGUGUUAAAACAGACCAGAUUAUAACAAACAUCUAAACCCUGAUCAUGUCGAUUAAACCAGUAGAAAGAACCAGAAGGAUGCUGUCAGUAAAGGGCGUCAUAUUUUAUGGUGGAGGAUGAUUCUCUUUAUUUUAAAACGAGCCUUGUUCGUUAUUGGAGCUAAACGCGGAAGUAGCAGUAGAUGCUGCCGUUAUCCAGACCUACUCACUAAACUAAGAGAAGAGCUGAUCUUAAACAUCCACAUUCCGCUCAUUUCCAUCCAGACAGUGUGAAGAUUUUUAACAGAGAACUACAAAAUAAGCCAAGCCCCGGCACCUUUACCGUAAUUACAGAGGCAAGAGCGCAAGCCGUCUGGACGCGCAAACUGCGAACCACGACUCACUUGACAGUUGAUUAACUCACCUUCGACACCAAACGUUGUUCCAGAGCAGGUCAGGAGACAGAAACACACGAGAGGAAGAAGCUCCAUCUCUGUCCAACUCCUCUGAAGAAGAAACAUCAGUUUAUUUGUUCAGAUAUAAGGACUCUUGAGGCCACUCCUCACAGCUCAACUGACGCAUCCAGGACACUUUCGGUUUCGAGAGUUUCUUUUUCUUUUUUUUUUCUAGACUAAACGUGCAGGCAGCGGGAAGCCAACACUUAAAAUCCUUCAGAACAGAAGCUCCGUUAUUUCGGGAGAAAUAAAGUCGAUGACUGAGCACAGAAAGGUGAAAGGACUCAGGUUCAGGCUGAUUAUGGUGAAGUGAAUUCCAUCUUUCCUGACCAGUGUUCAUGUCUAGUCAUCCUAAACCUACUGUGGGAUGAAUAAAGGAUUAUCUUAUUUUAUUAGUAGUAUUUUAUUUUGAAGGGCUGGCUUCCAGUGGGUGUUGUCCAUGUUGUUAUUUCCAGCUCUAACAGACUAAAGGACUGAACGGCCUAGUGUGUCUGCAGUGUUACUGUCCUGAUCUACAGCAGCUCUGAACUGAGGCUCACACACACCAUGGAUCCAUGAAGAGCAGAUUACAUCCACCAUGCAGCCUUUCAGAGGAGCAGACUUUUACACUGAAGAGAUGUUAUUUGUGCAGGAUGAGUAGAAGGAGCCUUCGUAGCUGCCUUGACCUUAUCAACAGUUCAGCAGCUGUAAAGAGGAAGGAAAGAGGGCGGGUUUUUAGCCUCCUCAGCUUUAUCACUUUCAAUGUGAAGAACAGCUUUUAACUUCACCUCCAAACUUCUGACUGUUUCCUCACAAAUAAUCUUUUUUUGGUUUGAUUCUAACCAGAGACAAGUCCAACAGUCAUUUUAAAUGGUCUGGUUGUGAUCUUCCAGUCUGUGUUUGGUCAAAGGAAAGGUUUCCUGCUACAUACACCUGUUACAGGUCCAGACUGUAGAGCCCAUCUGCUGAUAAGAGUCCUGUAUAAACAGGACAAAGAAUGAGAGGGGGAGAAAACAGACACUGCCUCCUGCUGGCAGAACUGAACCACUGCCAGUGUUGAGUUGAUGUGUGGACCACAGCCCCUCCAGCCUGAGUGUCUCUCCCACACCUGGACAUACCAGGUGUCCAACAGGUGAGGUUGAUCAGUGUCCACACACAGAGUCACUCAGCAGAGCAGCAGAGGGAGAAACAGUGUGAAAGCAGCUGAGGAAGUUGUGCAAAGAAAGUUUGUGUCAAAAAAGGAAGAAGGAGGUGGUGAGAAAUCAUGUUUGGGCAGAAGCUCGUUGUUUGUGAGCUGCUUGGGAGAUGUUGGAUAAAUAUAUGAAAAUGUUAAAUACAGUUAACUUAAGAAUCAUUUGUGCUAAAUAAAAUUAAAAUGCAUUUGAACAGUUUAUCUGUUAAAAGUUGUUAAUUCAUUGUGUUAAAAUCAAGAGAUCAGAUUAAAUUUCAUUUUAAAAAUAUAUUUUCUGAAUUUAAACACUUAUUUAUUUGCUACUGUUUACAAGGUUUAUUUGUUUUUAUAAUUAAUUUGCAUGUGUUUAUUUUGCUUUUUCUGUUCUGUUUGUCUUCGUGUUAAAGUUUUGAACCUGGUUAACUGAUCAUCAUUGCAUCAACACGUCUAAAAUAAAAGAAAGAAGGAAAAGAGCAGAAAGUUUGAUCAGUGAGUAGAAUCCUGUGAAGCCUUCAUGAAACUGGCUGCUCUGUUCAAGUGGUAAAUUUAAAAUCUUACAAACAGUGACACCCAGUGUGUUAAAAAGAAGCACUGAGUAUUACCAAGAGACAGUCAUUAGAUCAGAUUUAAAUAUUUUAUCUUACAGAAUAAAUAAAUAAAAUAAAAUAAACCAAAAUGACAUAAAAUGUGACCAUACACUUUGUGUGUCACACACUUGACCCUGCAGACGAUCUAAUCUCUUAUUGUUCAACCAAAGUAAAUGAACAGUAAUAAUAGUGGAAUAAUUCUAUAUGUACUAGCUGUAUGUUUGAUGCCUCUGCUCUAGAACAUCUCCAUGUGUGUGCUGGGUUGUCUAAUGUUCCUGUUGUCAUCUAUAUGGAUAAUAACCAUCUGGUUUUUCAACAUAAAACAAAAAUAGACAUUUAAUGAGUUGGAGUUAAUGUUGAUUCAGUCACAUCAGUAAAAAGCUGCUUCCUGAACACUGUUCUCUAGGGCAUUAGUUUUCUCCUUAUCAGUGAACAUUGUUUAGUUCCUUAUGGUGGAGCUGUUUGGAGCCAAGGCUUCCAGAGACUAGUUAUCAUCCAGGCUGUCAGGAGGCUCCAGGGGAUUCUGGGUAUCACAUCAUUUAUUUGACCUCAUGCUUCAUUUUCAUUCAUCUAUAUAUUUUAAAUACAGAUACUGACUUUGUGAAUGAUGUAUUUAUUUUAAACUCAUGAGAAAUAAAUAACUAAAUAAAUUCAUAAAUGCCCUGACAGACUAUAUAGAUAUAUAUUACUGUUAAAAGAUCAUUUAAAAACCAGUCUCUGGUUCCUGGUUUGUCUUGUGUUCUCUCCCUCAGGUGAAGCUACAGCAGUUUUUAACAGGAAGGACCUCUCGCCACCUUCUCUCAGCUAGAAUUUAAAGUUACAGUCAGAAAACAUCCUGAGAUUUCUCUCAGAUGCUCCUCUGGAUCAGGGCUACAGCAGAGCUGUAAUUGACUGCAACCUCAUCACACUCACUCAGCUGAUCUCACACUAAGCUGUAAAACAGCUCUGUAUGUACAUGUUCAGUGUGAUGAUCAAAUAUCUGAGGGUUUCUCUUACUUCAGUCUGAUGAAUCCACUCUGAUAAAAUGAAUUGAUGUUGGUCCUUCAAAAAUGUUCCUCCAUUUCUCCACAAACAGUUAAUAAUCUGACCCAAGGCCAUAUGUGGUGUGUUUGUGUGUCUUGCAGCACCUUUGUGGCACACGGCAGAUUUACCGGCUCUAUCCUCCUUUCACAUGCUCCCGUAUCCUCCCCUUUUCAUGCACUGCAUUCUGUUCAAACCUCAGUGACAGUUCAAACCUGGGGCAGCCCCGUCUCCACCAUGUUGUCUGCCUCCACAUCUGCAGUCAACAAUCACUCAGUCAGAGCAGGUAGAGAGUUCAGUUUCCUGACAGCCUGGUGGAUGAAGCUGUCCCUCAGUCUGCUGGUGCUGGUCCUGGUCCUGGUCCAGACUCCAGUCUCUGAAGUCCCUGAAGGCAUCAGACUCAGGAAGCUGUGUGACGGGUGGGUGGCAUCACUCACAGUGCAGAGAGCUUUGCAGGUGAGCCGGUAUUAAUUCGGUGACCCGUGAGCGGCUGGAUGAUGUUGAAGAAAAGUUGAGGCAGUGGUCAGGUUUCCUGGUUUUCUCUCUGUUAUUAAUCAGUACCAGCGAUAACAGCAACAGCGAAGGCUGAAAUGUCUCUUGUGGUCAGACUUGCAACACAGACAGAUGGUAACUGGCGCCUUAAAUACUGAGCCACCGGAUUAAUCACUGGACUCUUCCACUCUACAGGUGCUGUGUCCUCCGGGGGGAAUUCUUUGGCCGCGCACCGCGGAGCAGACACCUGACUGGACAGGCGGAGCCGAGUGCGCGCUCCGACACCUGCCCGACGGCACGCGCUCAACCGCGGUCACGAGGUUCCCUGAAGCUCAUACAUAUUCAAUAAAUAACGUUAAAUAUCUGAAGAUGUGCAAAUAAGUACAAACCAUAGUAAAUAAAGUGCUAUCGAGACUCAAA